GUGCGGGAUUCCUGGGCCGAGAGCGGGUGGCGGAGCCGGGACCUCGCGUGAUUCUCGGAACCCGAGGAGAAGCGGCGUCCGGGGCUAUGGCUGUGACUCUGGACAAAGACGCUUAUUAUCGGCGAGUGAAGAGACUGUACAGCAAUUGGCGGAAAGGAGAAGAUGAGUAUGCCAACGUUGAUGCCAUUGUUGUAUCAGUGGGUGUUGAUGAAGAAAUUGUUUAUGCCAAAUCAACUGCCUUACAGUCUUCAGGGACCCAGGCUUUUUCCAGUUCUCUGUUCUGCCACCCAAAGAACAUAGCCCUCUUGCACAUGGUACAGAAUGGCUUCUAGAACUCCAGGUGUUUCAUCUACAUUCCAAGAAAAAAAAGAGAGAGACAGGGAAGAAAACAGGAGGCCACCUUUUCUUUUUAAGAAGACUUGCUUGAAGCUCCACACAGUACUUCCAUUUUUGACUUAUUGGCCAAAAUUUGAUCUUAAUGACCAUACUUACCUGAAAGGAAGGUAAAAUAUCAGUUCUUUGAGAAGGAGAAAUGAAUAAUUGGUAGGCAACUGGUAAUUGAGGAGGUAGUAACGCAGGGUUCCGUAUCACUUUGUCCCUUGUUUUAUGCAUUUCUGUAUUACUAAACAUUGAUAUACUUCCUAUAAACACAAAUUGUUCAACUGAUUUGAUGAUUUUAAUUAUAGAAAGUUCUAGCAUAUAAACGUAGAGAAAAUAAUACAUUGAACCCCAUUGUCCUAUUCUAAUAAAUUGUCAACUCUUGGCCGAUCUUGCUUAAUUUGUAUCCACUCCAGACUCCCCAGCCUGAUUACCUUGGAGUUAAUUUCAGACAUGUUAUUUUUGUCUAUAAGUAUUUCUGUAUAUCUAUAUGAGUCUAUUAAUUUUCGUAUCUAAA
rnacentral:sRNA from 1 species